rnacentral:rRNA from 1 species
CUAAAGGAUAUUUCUUGUGACACUUAGUGGCGGACGGGUGAGUAACGCGUGAGGAACCUGCCUUACAGAGGGGGACAACAGUUGGAAACGACUGCUAAUACCGCAUGACACAUAGGUGUCGCAUGGCACUUAUGUCAAAGAUUUAUCGCUGAAAGAUGGCCUCGCGUCCAAUUAGCUAGUUGGUGAGGUAACGGCCCACCAAGGCGACGAUUGGUAGCCGGACUGAGAGGUUGAACGGCCACAUUGGGACUGAGACACGGCCCAGACUCC